rnacentral:rRNA from 1 species
AUUGAACGCUGGCGGCAGGCUUAACACAUGCAAGUCGAGCGGAGUGAUGGUGCUUGCACUAUCACUUAGCGGCGGACGGGUGAGUAAUGCUUAGGAAUCUGCCAUUUAGUGGGGGACAACAUUCCGAAAGGAAUGCUAAUACCGCAUACGUCCUACGGGAGAAAGCAGGGGAUCUUCGGACCUUGCGCUAAAUGAUGAGCCUAAGUCGGAUUAGCUAGUUGGUGGGGUAAGGGCCUACCAAGGCGACGAUCUGUAGCGGGUCUGAGAGGAUGAUCCGCCACACUGGGACUGGGACACGGCCCAGACUCCUACGGGAGGGAGCAGUGGGGAAUAUUGGAAAAUGGGCGCAAGCCUGAUCCAGCCAUGCCGCGUGUGUGAAGAAGGCCUUCGGGUUGUAAAGCACUUUCAGUAGGGAGGAAGGGUGUUGUGUUAAUAGCACAGCAUUUUGACGUUACCUACAGAAGAAGCACCGGCUAACUCUGUGCCAGCAGCCGCCGUAAAAC